UAUUAAAAUUUUUAUUUGAUUUUAUUGUUAAAAAUUGGUGUGACUGACAGAAUAACCAAACAGUUACAUUUGACGUGUCACGUGUUCCUAAUGUCGAUGUUUAUCGACUCGUUUUUAACAAUAAAAAUAUAUGAAAUUUUUAGGA
rfam:Gossypium raimondii Chr01_contig_252, whole genome shotgun sequence.